AGUCGACGGUGACGAGGGGCUUGCUCCUCUGAUCAGUGGCGAACGGGUGAGUACACGUGAGUAACCUGCCCUUCACUCUGGGAUAACGCUGGGAAACCGGUGCUAAUACUGGAUAUGACCUGCUCGGGCAUCCGAUGUGGGUGGAAAGAUUUAUUGGUGGAGGAUGGACUCGCGGCCUAUCAGCUUGUUGGUGAGGUAAUGGCUCACCAAGGCGACGACGGGUAGCCGGCCUGAGAGGGCGAUCGGCCACACUGGGACUGAGACACGGCCCAGACUCCUACGGGAGGCAGCAGUGGGGAAUAUUGCACAAUGGGCGAAAGCCUGAUGCAGCGACGCCGCGUGAGGGAUGAAGGCCUUCGGGUUGUAAACCUCUUUCAGCAGGGAAGAAGCGGCCGGGUUUUCUUGGUUGUGACGGUACCUGCAGAAGAAGCACCGGCUAACUACGUGCCAGCAGCCGCGGUAAUACGUAGGGUGCAAGCGUUGUCCGGAAUUAUUGGGCGUAAAGAGCUUGUAGGCGGUUUGUCGCGUCUGCUGUGAAAUUUCGGGGCUCAACCCCGAACUUGCAGUGGGUACGGGCAGACUAGAGUGCGGUAGGGGAGACUGGAAUUCCUGGUGUAGCGGUGAAAUGCGCAGAUAUCAGGAGGAACACCGAUGGCGAAGGCAGGUCUCUGGGCCACUACUGACGCUGAGAAGCGAAAGCAUGGGGAGCGAACAGGAUUAGAUACCCUGGUAGAAUCACUAGUGAAUUC
rnacentral:rRNA from 1 species